AUUGAACGCUGGCGGCAGGCUUAACACAUGCAAGUCGAGCGGGAUGAUGGUGCUUGCACUAUCACUUAGCGGCGGACGGGUGAGUAAUGCUUAGGAAUCUGCCUAUUAGUGGGGGACAACAUCUCGAAAGGGAUGCUAAUACCGCAUACGUCCUACGGGAGAAAGCAGGGGAUCACUUGUGACCUUGCGCUAAUAGAUGAGCCGAAGUCGGAUUAGCUAGUUGGUGGGGUAAAGGCCUACCAAGGCGACGAUCUGUAGCGGGUCUGAGAGGGUGAUCCGCCACACUGGGACUGAGACACGGCCCAGACUCCUACGGGAGGCAGCAGUGGGGAAUAUUGGACAAGGGGGGGAACCCUGAUCCAGCCAUGCCGCGUGUGUGAAGAAGGCCUUAUGGUUGUAAAGCACUUUAAGCGAGGAGGAGGCUCUUUUGGUUAAUACCCAAGAUGAGUGGACGUUACUCGCAGAAUAAGCACCGGCUAACUCUGUGCCAGCCGCCGCGGUAA
rnacentral:rRNA from 1 species